GAGCGAAUCGAUGGGAGCUUGCUCCCUGAGAUUAGCGGCGGACGGGUGAGUAACACGUGGGCAACCUGCCUAUAAGACUGGGAUAACUUCGGGAAACCGGAGCUAAUACCGGAUACGUUCUUUUCUCGCAUGAGAGAAGAUGGAAAGACGGUUUACGCUGUCACUUAUAGAUGGGCCCGCGGCGCAUUAGCUAGUUGGUGAGGUAAUGGCUCACCAAGGCGACGAUGCGUAGCCGACCUGAGAGGGUGAUCGGCCACACUGGGACUGAGACACGGCCCAGACUCCUACGGGAGGCAGCAGUAGGGAAUCUUCCGCAAUGGACGAAAGUCUGACGGAGCAACGCCGCGUGAACGAAGAAGGCCUUCGGGUCGUAAAGUUCUGUUGUUAGGGAAGAACAAGUACCAGAGUAACUGCUGGUACCUUGACGGUACCUAACCAGAAAGCCACGGCUAACUACGUGCCAGCAGCCGCGGUAAUACGUAGGUGGCAAGCGUUGUCCGGAAUUAUUGGGCGUAAAGCGCGCGCAGGUGGUUCCUUAAGUCUGAUGUGAAAGCCCACGGCUCAACCGUG
rnacentral:rRNA from 1 species